rnacentral:rRNA from 1 species
ACGAACGCUGGCGGCGUGCUUAACACAUGCAAGUCGAACGGAAAGGCCCUGCUUGCAGGGUACUCGAGUGGCGAACGGGUGAGUAACACGUGGGUGAUCUGCCCUGCACUUCGGGAUAAGCCUGGGAAACUGGGUCUAAUACCGGAUAGGAGCCAUUUUUAGUGUGAUGGUUGGAAAGUUUUUUCGGUGUAGGGUGAGCUCGCGGCCUAUCAGCUUGUUGGUGGGGUAAUGGCCUACCAAGGCGGCGACGGGUAGCCGGCCUGAGAGGGUGGACGGCCACAUUGGGACUGAGAUACGGCCCAGACUCCUACGGGAGGCAGCAGUGGGGAAUAUUGCACAAUGGGCGCAAGCCUGAUGCAGCGACGCCGCGUGGGGGAUGACGGCCUUCGGGUUGUAAACUCCUUUCGCUAGGGACGAAGCUUUUUGUGACGGUACCUAGAUAAGAAGCACCGGCUAACUACGUG